CAGCCGCCGCGGUAAUACGGAGGGAGCUAGCGUUGUUCGGAAUUACUGGGCGUAAAGCGCGCGUAGGCGGUUACUCAAGUCAGAGGUGAAAGCCCGGGGCUCAACCCCGGAACUGCCUUUGAAACUAGGUGACUAGAAUCUUGGAGAGGUCAGUGGAAUUCCGAGUGUAGAGGUGAAAUUCGUAGAUAUUCGGAAGAACACCAGUGGCGAAGGCGACUGACUGGACAAGUAUUGACGCUGAGGUGCGAAAGCGUGGGGAGCAAACAGGAUUAGAUACCCCGGUAGUCCCUGUCUCUUAUAU
rnacentral:rRNA from 1 species